rnacentral:rRNA from 1 species
UGGGGAAUAUUGCACAAUGGAGGAAACUCUGAUGCAGCGAUGCCGCGUGAGGGAAGAAGGUUUUCGGAUUGUAAACCUCUGUCUUCAGGGACGAAAAUGACGGUACCUGAGGAGGAAGCUCCGGCUAACUACGUGCCAGCAGCCGCGGUAAUACGUAGGGAGCGAGCGUUGUCCGGAAUUACUGGGUGUAAAGGGAGCGUAGGCGGGGCUUUAAGUCAGGUGUGAAAUGUAUGGGCUCAACCCGUAAACUGCACUUGAAACUGAGGCUCUUGAGUGAAGUAGAGGCAGGCGGAAUUCCUAGUGUAGCGGUGAAAUGCGUAGAUAUUAGGAGGAACAUCAGUGGCGAAGGCGGCCUGCUGGGCUUUUACUGACGCUGAGGCUCGAAAGCGUGGGGAGCAAACAGG